rnacentral:rRNA from 1 species
AUUGAACGCUGGCGGCAGGCUUAACACAUGCAAGUCGAGCGGGGGAAGGUAGCUUGCUACCGGACCUAGCGGCGGACGGGUGAGUAAUGCUUAGGAAUCUGCCUAUUAGUGGGGGACAACAUCUCGAAAGGGAUGCUAAUACCGCAUACGUCCUACGGGAGAAAGCAGGGGAUCUUCGGACCUUGCGCUAAUAGAUGAGCCUAAGUCGGAUUAGCUAGUUGGUGGGGUAAAGGCCUACCAAGGCGAAGAUCUGUAGCGGGUCUGAGAGGAUGAUCCGCCACACUGGGACUGAGACACGGCCCAAGCUCCUACGGGAGGCAGCAGUGGGGAAUAUUGGACAAUGGGGGGAACCCUGAUCCAGCCAUGCCGCGUGUGUGAAGAAGGCCUAUGGUUGUAAAGCACUUUAAGCGAGGAGGAGGCUACUCUAGUUAAUACCUAGGGAUAGUGGACGUUACUCGCAGAAUAAGCACCGGCUAACUACGUGCCAGCCGCCGCCGUAA